GGGGCCUAGUAGUUAGAGCGUCCGCUUUGGAUGCGGGAGGUUGAGGGUUUGAUCCCCGGCUUAGUCA